rnacentral:rRNA from 1 species
GAUGAACGCUGGCGGCGUGCCUAAUACAUGCAAGUCGAGCGAACAGACGAGGAGCUUGCUCCUCUGACGUUAGCGGCGGACGGGUGAGUAACACGUGGAUAACCUACCUAUAAGACUGGGAUAACUUCGGGAAACCGGAGCUAAUACCGGAUAAUAUAUUGAACCGCAUGGUUCAAUAGUGAAAGACGGUUUUGCUGUCACUUAUAGAUGGAUCCGCGCCGCAUUAGCUAGUUGGUAAGGUAACGGCUUACCAAGGCGACGAUGCGUAGCCGACCUGAGAGGGUGAUCGGCCACACUGGAACUGGGACACGGUCCAGACUCCUACGGGAGGAAGCAGUAGGGAAUCUUCCGCAAUGGGCGAAAGCCUGACGGAGCAACGCCGCGUGAGUGAUGAAGGUCUUCGGAUCGUAAAACUCUGUUAUUAGGGAAGAACAAAUGUGUAAGUAACUAUGCACGUCUUGACGGUACCUAAUCAGAAAGCCACGGCUAACUACGUG